ACCCGCUGAACUUAAGCAUAUCAAUAAGCGGAGGAAAAGAAACCAACAGGGAUUGCCCUAGUAACGGCGAGUGAAGCGGCAACAGCUCAAAUUUGAAAUCUGGCGUCUUUGGCGUCCGAGUUGUAAUUUGCAGAGGGCGCUUUGGCAUUGGCAGCGGUCCAAGUUCCUUGGAACAGGACGUCACAGAGGGUGAGAAUCCCGUACGUGGUCGCUAGCCUUUACCGUGUAAAGCCCCUUCGACGAGUCGAGUUGUUUGGGAAUGCAGCUCUAAAUGGGUGGUAAAUUUCUUCUAAAGCUAAAUACCGGCCAGAGACCGAUAGCGCACAAGUAGAGUGAUCGAAAGAUGAAAAGCACUUUGAAAAGAGGGUUAAAUAGCACGUGAAAUUGUUGAAAGGGAAGCGCUUGUGACCAGACUUGCGCCGGGCGGAUCAUCCGGUGUUCUCACCGGUGCACUCCGCCCGGCUCAGGCCAGCAUCGGUUCUCGCGGGGGGAUAAAGGCCUCGGGAACGUAGCUCCUCCGGGAGUGUUAUAGCCCGGGGCGCAAUGCCCUCGCGGGGACCGAGGUUCGCGCAUCUGCAAGGAUGCUGGCGUAAUGGUCAU
rnacentral:rRNA from 1 species